UUCAGCUGCAAGCUGGGCCCGUGUCUCCGCCUCCUAGCUGGUUGCCUGGCACACAACGGGCGCCGCCAGCAUUGGCUGGAUUUGAAUUCGUUGAACUGCAAAGUCACACAAAUCCCCACAACCCUGCCGCAUCCUUGCAGGGCGGCCAUCACGGCUCCUGCAGCCACCCUCACGUUUACUACUGCCCUCGGCCCCCAGGUUUGGGGACCCGGGGAGGGGGGGGCGGGGCACCCACGCCACCAUUCGCACGGUUAACGCCUUCCGCCCCCAGCUCCUCCGAGAGCUGCCUGCCGUGUCCCUGCCUUCAGCAGUCACACGGGCACAGUCACAGAGUCACACGCGGGCGCGCCAAGCCCCGCACCCACCACGGGACCCGCAGGCUCCCUGCAUCGCCCGGCUCCUGGCUCUAGGACACCUUUAUCCGAUCCCCUUGCAAUGUCCCCGUCGCCUGCCCUUUGGACCCCACACAUCCCUUCGGGAUGCCAGCCUGCUCCUCGCACCUCGGACACGGAGACAGGCACCCCGCUGCGUCUUCAUAAGCCAUCUUCUUGGACCUAAGCGAGGGUGGCGCAGAGGAGGGAGGACCUCCCAGACGGGCCCCUUUACAGACAGCCACAAGCACCCACCCUCCCCCGGUACCACCUGGGCAGCAGUGGCCGAGAGCCGCCAUGACCGCGUGGGCGUCUUUCCACGCAAGCGGUUCUCUAAAGAACACCUCCUCCUCUUCCUCCUAUGAGACGCCACUUAGCACCUCCUCCAGGAAGCCCCCUGGGCUUGGUGCUGGCUUUGGGUUCCCACAGCACGUGCCCCGUGGUAUUGUCACUGCCCGUUUAUCGAUCUAGCACUAGACUGAGAUCCAGGUGAACAAGGACCUCAUUCCAGCUCCCACAAUACAGCAGUUGCUCAAUAAAUGUCUGCCAAAGGAAUGGA